UGGACCGAUGAUAAUGAUUGGUGGUCCAUAAGUCAUGGAUGAUGAGUAAUAUGAGUGUGGGACUCUGAGGGCCAA
ensembl:snoRNA